UCCAAUCACAGCCUCGUGAAUACAGAGCCUGUCUGCCGUAGAUAUGCGAGGCUCCUGUUGUUUGUUCCGUACAAGUGACUCUGUUUUCGGUUUUAAUAAUUUGCUGAAGUCGACACGACGCUGUUUCCCUGGAGGAGAAGAUGAGUGCGUGGGAAAGCAAAGCCGAGGGCCCGGUGUGGAGGAGUCGAAGCGGAGAAGACGGAUGCACAGUCCCUGAACAAAGGAAGCUCUCCCUCUUCACAGCUGUGAUGAAAAUGGCCGGCGGAGCGAGGGUAUGAAUGAAGAAGAGCUGUUCUGUUUAAAAUGCAUCCUCCAGCUUUACUUUAUCUGAUCGAUUUCAUAGUUUUGUUUCACAGCCGGAUUCCUGCACACAAUGACGCAGUCACUGCACAUUACACCGAGACUCGCUGAAAGUCCGCAUUUGCAGUGCCUGCCUGUACUAUGACGUCCUAAGACCCACUAUGAGCCGGUAUGAAGGAGCUUCCAGUACAACCAAACGGACCUUGCAGCGGCAUUGAGGAGUUCAGGAGUCGGCAGAGAAGAAAGAGGCUGAUUGAAGCGGGACAGAUGACAUCGAUCCAUCCUUCCACAGCCAGGAGCUCAACAACCUGUGUGCUUCAAAUAAGACUAGAAGCUACACUGGAUCUCACAGCUUCACACCACAGACGUCUACACACCACAGACGUCUACACACUGGGGCAGAUUCGGACAGAGUCCCACAAAUAACAUAUGACCCAGAGGCUGCAAAGAGACAUUUCAAGCUUCACCUGAUUAGCUUUUCACUGGCUAGGCCAGUUGUGUUUGUACAAUAUUUGUGCUGUAUGUAAAUAAAGGUUUGACUCAACAUA